rnacentral:rRNA from 1 species
GACGAACGCUGGCGGCGUGCUUAACACAUGCAAGUCGAACGAAAAUACCAAGCUUGCUUGGUUGAUUAGUGGCGAACGGGUGAGUAACACGUGAGUAACCUGCCCCUUACUUUCUGGAUAACUGCUCGAAAGGGUAGCUAAUACGGGAUAUUCUGGCCUUCCUGCAUGGGUUGGUUUGGAAAGGUUGUUUUUUCUGGUGAGGGAUGGGCUCGCGGCCUAUCAGCUUGUUGGUGGGGUGAUGGCCUACCAAGGCUUUGACGGGUAGCCGGCCUGAGAGGGUGGACGGUCACACUGGGACUGAGAUACGGCCCAGACUCCUACGGGAGGCAGCAGUGGGGAAUAUUGCACAAUGGGCGCAAGCCUGAUGCAGCGACGCCGCGUGAGGGAUGAAGGCCUUCGGGUUGUAAACCUCUUUCGUCAGGGAACAAGGCACUGCCUUUGGUGGUGUUGAGGGUACCUGGAUAAGAAGCGCCGGCUAACUACGUGCCAGCAGCCGCGGUAAUACGUAGGGCGCAAGCGUUGUCCGGAAUUAUUGGGCGUAAAGAGCUCGUAGGCGGCUGGUCGCGUCUGUCGUGAAAACUUCCGGCUCAACCGGGGGCUUGCGGUGGGUACGGGCCGGCUAGAGUGCGGUAGGGGUAACUGGAACUCCUGGUGUAGCGGUGGAAUGCGCAGAUAUCAGGAAGAACACCGAUGGCGAAGGCAGGUUACUGGGCCGUUACUGACGCUGAGGAGCGAAAGCGUGGGGAGCGAACAGG